rnacentral:rRNA from 1 species
AGUAGUCAUAUGCUUGUCUUAAAGAUUAAGCCAUGCAUGUCCAAGUAUAACCCCUUUGGGGAAAACUGCGGAUGGCUCAUUAAAUCGGUUGGAAUCUACAUGAACACCCCCAGUACGUGGAUAACCACGGAAAAUCUGCGGCUAAUACAUGCUUCAAUGUGUGGUCUCUGAUCAUACUGCAUACAUUAGUUCCAAAAUCAACUUUAUUCGGGUGAUUCAUGAUGUCUAGGCGAAUCGUAUGACCUUGUGUCGACGAUGAUUCAUUCGACUUUCCGCCCUAUCAACUUUGGAUGGUAGUGUAGUGGACUACCAUGGUUGUAACGGGUGACGGGGAAUUAGGGUUCGAUUCCGGAGAGGGAGCCUGAGAGAUGGCUACUACUUCCAAGGAAGGCAGCAGGCGCGCAAAUUACCCUAAUGGUCAAAGACCGAGGUAGUGACAAUAAAUAUCGAUGUUGGUGAUUCGUCAUUGACAAUCGGAAUGAACUGAAGUUAAAUCUCUCUAUGAGUACCAAUUGGAGGGCAAGUCUGGUGCCAGCAGCCGCGGUAAUUCCAGCUCCAAGAGCGUAUAUUCAAUUUGCUGCAGUUAAAAAGCUCGUAGUCGGAUUUCUGGGCAUUUGUUUGGGUUGGUUGGCUCACGCUUUCCUUCUCUUUCAUUGCCUUCUCCAUGUUUGUGUUGCAUUCUGCCCUUCACUGGGUGGUUUGUCUACCUUACAUCGUUGACCGUGCUUUAAUUCGCGUGUUCAAAGCAGGCUUUUACGCCUUGAAGAGUAUAGCAUGGGAUCAUGAAAUAGGACCCUCUUUUAUGUUUGUUGACUUUGGAUUGAGGGUAAUGAUAAAUAGGGGUGGUCGGGGGUGUACGGAUUCCGUGGCGAGAGGUGAAAUUCUUGGACCCACGGAGGACGAACUAAAGCGAAAGCAUUCACCAAGGACAUACCCAUUGAUCAAGAACGAAAGAUAGGGGAUCGAAGAUGAUCAGAGACCGUUGUAGUCCUAUCCCUAAACGAUACCGACCGAGGAUCGGAGGGUGUCUAUUUUUGCGACUCCUUCGGGACUCUGUGGGAAACCAUUGAGUCUUUGGGUUCCGGGGGGAGUACGGUCGCAAGGCUGAAACUUAAAGGAAUUGACGGAAGGGCACACCAGGAGUGGAUCCUGCGGCUUAAUUCGACCCAACACGGGAAAACUCACCAGGUCCGACAUAGCAAGGAUUGACAGAUCGAUAGCUCUUUCUUGAUUCUAUGAGUGGUGGUGCAUGGCCGUUCUUAGUUGGUGGAGUGAUUUGUCUGGUUGAUUCCGAUAACGAACGAGACCUCAACCUGCUAAAUAGGAAGUUUGAUGGGGGAAAUUUGGGUGAAGGGGUUAUUG